CCUUGGUGGCUUCGGUGGAGACUUCUUCGGUGGCAGUGGCAGCGGUAGUGAUGGAGGUGGCGGAGAAGGCGGAGGUGGAGAUGGCGGUGGUGGAGGUGGAGGUGGAGGUGGAGAGGGAGGUGGUGGAGAAGGUGGCGGCGGCGGCGGUGGUGGCGAUUUAUUCGACUUUGGAGGAUUCUUUAGUGACGGAGGCGGUGGUGGAGGUGGAGAAGGAGGUGGCGGUGAUGGCGGUGGCGAUUUGAGUGGCUUUGGCAGCGGCGGCGAUAGCUUCUUCUCUUGCGACUGGAAGGACCUGAGGAAGGACCUGAUAGUUCUUCUCUGCACCUUUGUGAAGUUGCCGUAGAACGUCACGUAAAUGGAGAUGGUGUUGUUCUGGCCGACCAGGAUGGAUCCAUCGUGAAAUAAGAGGCCGCUGGGGCCUUUCACUCGGCCAAUCGGCUGAGCCUUGAGCUUGCUGCUAUCCCAUGGCGAGGCGGCCGCUAUCUGGACGACAGCCGGGAGUACGCAUGCCAGAUACAAGAGCAGCCUCGUCAUCCUUUUGCUGGCAUGAGAGCAU
rnacentral:lncRNA from 1 species